rnacentral:rRNA from 1 species
UACAGAGGGUGCUAGCGUUGUUCGGAAUCAUUGGGCGUAAAGGGCGUGUAGGCGGUUUGUUAAGUCAUGUGUGAAAUCCCUCGGCUUAACCGGGGAACUGCGUCUGAUACUGGAUGGCUUGAGUUCGGGAGAGGGAUGCGGAAUUCCAGGUGUAGCGGUGAAAUGCGUAGAUAUCUGGAGGAACACCGGUGGCGAAGGCGGCAUCCUGGACCGACACUGACACUGAGGAGCGAAAGCCAGGGGAGCAAACGGG